rnacentral:rRNA from 1 species
UUUAGUCAAUUUUAAAGACCGAGAUAAUAAAAGCUAUGUUCUUCAAACCUAAAGGAUUUGGCGGUAAUUUAGUCCAGUUAGAGGAACCUGUUUGGUAAACGAUAAACCACGAAGAAUCUUACCUACCUUUAAAGUUUGUAUACCGUCAUUAUUAGAUAACUUUCAAUGAAAAAGUUAUUUCAAUAAAUUUACCUUAAUAUAUUAGAUCAAGGUGCAGCUAAUAAGUAGGUCGUAAUGGGUUACAAUAAAACUAACUUACCAACGAAUAUAAAAUGUAAACAUUUUAUUGAAGGAGGAUUUAAUAGUAAAAUCGGUUUAAUAAGCCUGUUUGAUAAUGGAUCUAAAUUGAGUACAUAUCGCCCGUCGCUUUCAUUCCACAGAUGAAAUAAGUCGUAACAUAG